rnacentral:rRNA from 1 species
GACGAACGCUGGCGGCGUGCCUAAUACAUGCAAGUUGAGCGCUGAAGGUUGGUACUUGUACCAACUGGAUGAGCAGCGAACGGGUGAGUAACGCGUGGGGAAUCUGCCUUUGAGCGGGGGACAACAUUUGGAAACGAAUGCUAAUACCGCAUAAAAACUUUAAACACAAGUUUUAAGUUUGAAAGAUGCAAUUGCAUCACUCAAAGAUGAUCCCGCGUUGUAUUAGCUAGUUGGUGAGGUAAAGGCUCACCAAGGCGAUGGUACAUAGCCGACCUGAGAGGGUGAUCGGCCACAUUGGGACUGAGACACGGCCCAAACUCCUAAGGGAGGCCGCAGUAGGGAAUCUUCGGCAAUGGACGAAAGUCUGACCGAGCAACGCCGCGAGAGUGAAGAAGGUUUUCGGAUCGUAAAACUCUGUUGGUAGAGAAGAACGUUGGUGAGAGUGGAAAGCUCAUCAAGUGACGGUAACUACACAGAAAGGGACGGCUAACUCCGUG